rnacentral:tRNA from 1 species
GGGUGAUUAGCUCAGCUGGGAGAGCACCUCCCUUACAAGGAGGGGGUCGGCAGUUGGUAGAGCAGUUGACUUUUA